UGGGGAAUAUUGGACAAUGGAGGAAACUCUGAUCCAGCAAUUCUGUGUGUGUGAAGAAGGUUUUAGGACUGUAAAACACUUUUAGUAGGGAAGAAAAAAAUGACGGUACCUACAGAAGAAGCAACGGCUAAAUACGUGCCAGCAGCCGCGGUAAUACGUAUGUUGCGAGCGUUAUCCGGAAUUAUUGGGCUUAAAGGGCAUCUAGGCGGUAAGACAAGUUGAAGGUGAAAACCUGUGGCUCAACCAGAGGCUUGCCUACAAAACUGUUGAAAUAGAGUACUGGAAAGGUGGGUGGAACUACACGAGUAGGGGUGAAAUUCGUAGAUAUGUGUAGGAAUGCCGAUGAUGAAGAUAACUCACUAGACAGAAACUGACGCUGAAGUGCGAAAGCUAGGGGAGCAAACAGG
rnacentral:rRNA from 1 species